rnacentral:lncRNA from 1 species
GGAGGGAGUAUUAUAUAUAGAUUAUUAUUUCAAUAAUGGUGUUAUUGAUGAGUUGUAAGUUUAUAUGUGCCAAGUAAUUUGAAUAAAUAUGACAAUAUUUAUCUUUAUAUGCAUUUAAAUUUUAAUUUGUGUUGCUUUACAAAUAUUUUUUUUAUUUUUUUAUCAAUCGAUUAGUGGAAAAACAGGGGUUGAACAUGAUAUAAUUGUCAUUCGUUUUUAAAUAAUAUACAUGAUCUUUUUAAAUUUAAAUAGACGUGCUAUUAUAAAAUUAAGCAGUUCAAUUUAUUUUUUUAUUUUUAAAUAGUAUCAAUACUGAUUCUCCAAUUAAUAAUUUUUCAAUGAGCCAUUUUGAUGUUU